rnacentral:rRNA from 1 species
UUUUAACGGCUGCGGUAUUUUGACCGUGCUAAGGUAGCAUAAUCAAUUGUUUUUUAAUUGAAAACUAGUAUGAACGGUUUAAUUUACUUAAUUAGUUUGUAAUUUUUAAUAGUAAGUUAAAUAUAAAGUAAGAAUUCUUUAAUAAAUUAGGGGACGAUAAGACCCUAAAAGCUUUAUGAUUGGCAUUUAAUUGGUGAUAUCGGUGUUAUUAAUUCACUGGGGCAGUGAGUUUAGGUAUAUUUAAGUAUAAUUAAAAGCUCCUUUAAAUAAAGAUUUCAUGUAUAAGUUACUUUAGGGAUAACAGUGCAAUAUAUU